AGAGGCCAAAGCCCAAGCUGCCAGAAAAAAUGUCUCCGCUCUUCUCCUUCCAGCACCAUGGCUCCUCACUGGAUAGGGCUGGGUAGACCCACUUUCUGUCUCUGGAUAUGCAGCUCUUGAUCUUCUGAGCUGCUUGACAGCUAUUUUCAAAGUCGUCUCGAAGGGUCCUUUUGGGAGUGAAAGAAUGCUGCUUUUCACCAGCUCAUAAUAUCAGAAAGGCUGUCUCAGGACUGCGCUUUGCUGACAACACAGCUUGAUGCAACCUGAGGAUGGGAUGCUGGAUCUGAUUCGGAGAGGCUGCCCUGAACCCGUGGGGAUGGUCCAUGUCUGGGUGCCUUGUAGUCUGACAGUCCUGGAACGUCAAUGCAGGCUUUUGUAACCACAGCCACUCUGAGUUCACUUGUGCAACGGCUGUGGCAUGUUGAAAUGACAGCAUUUUGCGGCCCCCUUGCCCAUUCUCUGGCCCUUACAGUCUCUGGUCCCCCUUUUUGCUAUGUUCCCCGAGCCUUGAGGUGGUCGAUGUCAAUUUCUAGAAUGUAGGAAGACAAGAGAGAAGACUGCUGCAUGGGAGAACCCCAGAAAUCUUUUGGGGUUCUUGCCAGGAUUGUGUACUUGAGUGGUGACCAAUAUGUAUGGUUAAGGAAACUACCUGAGGCCGGGAAGAACCAAACAAAGGAUGGAAGAGGACAAUAGCUGCUGUACACACAGUACCUGUUCCUACUUGCUGGACCUGAGAAACCCAGGAUACUCAGAACACUGAGUUGGAUACUCGGAAAAGCUGUCGUUGCUAGUAGAGUGAGCACUGCUUUGGCCCUAACAAAUAUUCAAAACAAGAUCCCCAGAGAUAAAUAUUUACUUUUAUAAGUUACACAAUUGUGCCAGAAUAAUAUAAAAAAAUAUUUACAGAAUACAAAGAACAAUGCUGAAAUUCUC
ensembl:lincRNA Gm30173 predicted gene, 30173